CCAUUUGUAACCAUAAAUUCUCUCUCUACCUCUUUUUUUCUCUCUCCCUUUUUAUGGACUUCCUUUGGGACGUAUUCUAAUUCUUCAAUCGCCUCCUCCAUCUCUCUCUCGAAGAGAGAUCUGCUGCUCUGUUCAGAUUCCGAUCGUUGCAGGGAUUUUUAUUCGGUCGGUCGGCCGGCGUCUCCAUGGGGAAGUUUGUCGAGAUUCUCGACGCUGGCGUCAGGAUUGUCGCCAGAUUUCAUUCGCAUUGUCCUCAGACUGCUCGGAUGUACUACCAUCCGCCGGCUAACUCCAACGAAGGCCACCACUCCGACCGCCAGGAGUUUCGCCUUAGCGGCGGCGAUGUGUCGUCUCAUCAGAUUGUUCCUUGCAGUGCCGCGGCCGCCGUUGUAGCCGUCAGCGCUGAGAGAAAGUAGGCAAGAAAUUGAGGGGAAAAUGUUGAUCUCGUUUGGUAAUGUGAAAAAGAAAAGAAAAGAAUCCGCAGCGAAUCAGACUUUCCGUUGAAAGUUCGUAAUUUAGUAAUUUAAUCUCACAUUCUUCCCGUGACCUCCAAGAAAAGUUAAA